rnacentral:rRNA from 1 species
ACUUCCUACGGGAGGCAGCAGUGAGGAAUAUUGGUCAAUGGGCGAGAGCCUGAACCAGCCAAGUCGCGUGAGGGAGUACUGCCCUAUGGGUUGUAAACCUCUUUUGUCGGGGAGCAAAAGCCGGGCGUGUCCGUCUGUGAGAGUACCCGAAGAAAAAGCAUCGGCUAACUCCGUGCCAGCAGCCGCGGUAAUACGGAGGAUGCGAGCGUUAUCCGGAUUUAUUGGGUUUAAAGGGUGCGCAGGCGGAUUUUUAAGUCAGCGGCCA